AGCAGCGUGGCUCAGUGGAAAGAGCACGGGCUUGGGAACCAGAGGUCAUGGAUUCGAAUCCCAGCUCUGCCG
rfam:Ornithorhynchus anatinus chromosome 4, whole genome shotgun sequence.